rnacentral:tRNA from 5 species
GGAGAGGUGGCAGAGUGGUCGAAUGCGGCGGUCUUGAAAACCGUUGAGGUGAGAGCCUCCCAGGGUUCGAAUCCCUGUCUCUCCGCCA